CAGCAUAUUAUAUAUAUAUAUAUAUAUAUAUAUAUGGUGGCAGAGCAGAACGGGACAGCUGCUUAUUCUCUAGCCAUGCAUGCAUGGUUUUCUAUUAGGCUAAUGCUGGGGUGGUUGUUGGAGUCUGUAUGACAUGAUGAGAGAGGGUUUCGAUGGGGAAGACGAGAGGAGUACUUCCAUGGCGGUCACAUCCUGGCUGAAUGAAUCCAAUUUAAUGGAAAUUUCAGAAGGAAAACAACCCAUCUCUAUCUUCUUCUCUUCCUCCUUCUGCUCCUUCUGAAUACGGUUUGGAGCUCGCAAAUCGAUGGUGAACUCGUCUUAUAAAUGUUCUUCUCCGGUGUGCAGCUUUUGGGACUUCAGAAGCAGAAGAACAAAGCUGCUUUUCCUCUGCAGGUCUACCAUCAGAACAAUGAUGUAAGCUGCAGCAGGAGAAGCAGAAAAGAUUAAACGCUAAUCCAAUCAGCAAACUCUUAUGGAAUGCCUUCCCUGUCAAAGGACUGUAGACAUUACAAAGCUGGCAUCGACAUGCGAGAGGGCGACUUCUUGGUUGGAUGGAAGGAAACACAACCAAACGCUCCCCAUGCUCUAUUCAGAGGCUUUGACGUUUAGAUUUGGCGUGCUGGUAGCCUUCGCCAUCAGCCCCAUGAAGGAAGCUGG